rnacentral:lncRNA from 1 species
GCAAAACCGUGCGCCCCGGCACGCACAGCCGCGCGGCCCCCGACCCCCCGCGCCCCUAACCCUAACGGGAUCCCAGUCCUAGGGACACCGGGCGCGUGCGCGACCCCAAUCAGUUAUUUAUGGACGAAUUAAUUAUGUAGCCGCCAUGGGCGGGGGGGCCGGGAGGGGCCAUGCGACGCGGAGACCACCCGGCCGCGGUGGCGGCUCUCCCGCCGGGCCUCGGGGUCGGGAGGCGUCCCCACGCCGCCCGGGGAGGGUCCCGUUGUGAGAAAGCUGCCUCGGGGUGGGCUCCGGGAGGAGCGCGGGGGAACCUGAGGAAGCGGGAGAGACGGCUCGGAGACCUCCCAAUUAGACUGGGAGGGGAGAGGGGGGCGGGCGACGGAGCUGGAAAGAGCGGGCCGCGGAGACCGGGGCGUGGGAAGAGCCUGGCCUAGGCAUUUCUUCCCUUCCUUCCUUCCUUCAUCCCCAUCCUUACUGCGAGCCCACUACGUGCCACUGCGCCCACAGCAGAGGGCGGUAUUAGGGAGGGGUUAGGAGCAGGAAGGAAUUUCGAGGUACAGCUGGGUCCAAAUCCGGAUACUCCCCUGCUGUGUGGCCUUAGGCAACGGCUUGCGCUCUCGGAGCCUCCACUUCCUCAUCUGCCAGUGGUCUUCAGGACGUGGGAGAUGGGGCGCUUGGGCAGAGAGUUUGUGGGGGCGCGGUCGAAGGGAGGUCCUGUCCUUGGGAAACUUUACAUAGAGGGGAACACGCCCAGUCCCCCAGUAUUCCCCAUCUCGAAGCCCCGACUUUGGGUCCCAUAUAAUCUGCCUCUCCCCGGGGCCCACACAUUUGAAGGUCGUUAUUAAAACCACACCACCCCCAAGGCCACUGCUCAGGGCGCUCACCCCUAGCUGGCUUCUCACCAGCCUGGCCCUGCAGAAGGUCGUGCAUAUGGCAGCCAGAGGGGCUCAAUCUAGUCCUUUUACUCCCCACCUCCGCUGCCUCCCCCCACUCUGCCCUUCACUUCCCCAUCUGGGUUCUCCUUCCAACCUCCUUCUAGUCUGGGCUAGGGAGAUUGGAGCCCUGAGGCCAUGGGGGCUACGGGGCAGUGAGAACAGGGGAGGGGGCUCAGCUGGCCCUCCCUGGACAAGUGUCCCCCUCGUCUGGGGUGUCAAGGCGUUCUACUUCCAAGACUCAGAAGUGAAGGAAGCUUCCGUUUGCGACCCAGGAUUGCCUAGGGGUUUGCCUGUCUUCUUUCACCAAAACUUGCAAUAACUCUGUUAGGUGAAUGGGGCAGAUCCAGGUUUUAUGGGGCCUGAAGGUUUUACAAUCCUGGGGACCCACUUGAAGAAGAAUAGUGCAAAGUUAUGAAUAGGCGGUUAAGCUCAGGGCCUUGGUAAAUGACAGUCCCAGGAGCUAAAGCUUCAUUAGCCCCUCGGUAACUCACCUCUGUAGAUGGACAACACAACUGUCAUCCCUUUGCAGAGGUGGAAACAAAGCUUAGGCCGGCCCAAGGUCACAACAGGUAGAAAGGACAAGCUGGGAUCAAACCCAGGUCCCACCCCACAGGCAGCACCCUGAACUAACUGCCUCAGUAGGAAUGCCACCUUCCAUAUCAUCUACCCCAUGCCACAUCUCACCUGUCCCCACCAGUGCCCAGCCCAGGCAGGGUCAGUCAGAACAGCCUUUGCUUCCAGAACAGUCUGUGUCCCUCCCUCCAGGGGCCUCCAUGUCCCAAGGCUCAAGCCUCAGAGACUCUGUCUUGUGACAACACUCACAGAUCUAGUAAGCAGGUCUCUUCUAAACUUUUGAUUCCUGCAAUGGUAACCUGCUCACUCCAGAACUCCAGCUCCCCCGUCCACCUGGAGGGAGCGCACCCCUGUUCCCUGGUGGGCUCCCUGGUGUUCGGGGCUGGAUCUGUUUUAUUUGGCUCAGUAUUCCCC